rnacentral:tRNA from 1 species
UCCCAGGUCAUUCAGGUGGUAAAAAAUCUGCCUGCAAUGCAGAAGAUCUAGAUUCAAUCCCUGGGUUGGGAA